UGGCUAUAUCAUAUUGAAACACUGGUUCUCAUACGUUCACCAAAGUUAAGCAACAUUGAGCCUGGUCAGUAACUAGAUGAGUGACCACUUGGAAAUACCAGGUGUUGGA